CGCCGUUCUCAGUCCUCCACCCUGCGCUGAGUGCCAGACAAGUACAGGCUGAGAACAACACCCCCAGAAAAUAGGCUGUUCUGCUUAAACGUGUGUCGUUACUGCAUCAGCAAGGCCAGGAAACAGACUCAUUAGACCUCCAUAUGACAUAUGAGAGUGGCUGGCACAUUCCGCCCAGAUGGGAGGUUCUAUCAAGCCCCUUCUCCUUCACCGGGGCCGAGCCGAUCCGGGCCGAACUGGGCCACGGCACCUCAUGCUGCCUCUGUGAAACCGUCUUCCCCAUGCUCAAGGACUCACUCCCCUAUGCUGACCCAAUUUGGAGCUGCUGAAUCGAGGGAUUCUUUUGCCACGGCCCUGGGGUACGAAAUGGAGGCCAGCUCCUCUCGCUCAGCUCCGGUAGGGCAGGGAGAAAAUCUGCAUUGUGUUUAACUCACGGGUCUGGCAGCCUCAGCCUACAGAGAUCACAUCCCUUUCUGUGGGUCUGAGUGGAGAGCUCAUUGAAGUGACUUUUUAGUCUGAAGGAAAAAAGACUUGCCUCUGGAACAAGCCCUAAGUGUUGUUACACAGACGUGCUGUUUUAGAGCGUUUCAAACGCAGGUUGCUUCAGGCGUCG
rnacentral:lncRNA from 1 species